rnacentral:lncRNA from 1 species
UAUAUAUAUAUAUAUAUAUAUUAUAUGGGUAGAAAGGAUGCACUUUCCGGUCUUCAAAUAUUACAAAGUUAUUUAUUCCAUUAUAUGGUAUGCAACAAAUUGAGCGACGUUUCGACCCCGUUUCUGCACAGCAAAGGAGGUCAGAGGGAAGGAAAACCAGACCUUACUUUUCCUCUGGGACAUAACAUGCAAGUGGCAGCAGGCAGGGCCGCCACCAGAAAUGUUGGGGCCCCUAACUCAGCUAAGGGUCUGGGCCCCCCGGGGCCCACCCUUCAGGAAUACACACACAGACACAAACACACACACUGAUACAAAAGGACACAGAUACACACACACACAGAUACAUACUAACAGACACAUACUGAAACAGACAUACAUGCAUAUAGGCAUACAUAGUGACAGACAGACACAUACUAACAUACAUACAUACACACACAGACAUACAUUCAUAAUGACAUACAGACAUACAUACUGACUUACACUGAUACUGGCAUACAUACAGACAUACUGACUGACAUACAUUCAUACAGACAAACAUACAUGCAUACUGACAGACAUGCAUGCAUAUACUGGCAUCCAUACACACAUACAUACAUUCAUAAUGAUGUGCAGACAUACAUACAGACAUACAGACAUACUGACAUACAUACACUGACAUCCAUACACACAUACAUACAUUUAUACUGACAUGCAGACAUACAUACAGACAUACAUACAUACUGACAUACAUUCAUGCAUACUGACAUACACGCAUACAUACAGACACACACACACACACACACAAACAGACAUACAUUCAUACUGACAUACAUUGAUACUGGCAUACAUACUGACAUACAUGCAUACAGACAAUGACAUACAUUCAUAAGGACAUGCAGACAUACAUACUGACAGACAUGCACGCAUGCAUACUGACAUACAAACACACAGAGCUCAUUUCUCAGCCACCCUCCUGUUAUUACCUUUUCUUUGCAGGUGGGUGGCUGGGACUGAUGGAAGUCGGUGUGGCUCUCCCUCUUCAAGGACUCCACGCUGGCAAUCCUCCCGCGCGGAGCCACAGCGCUGACUGGGCCCCUGAAAAUAUAGGGCCCAUCAGGUGGCCCUAAGUGCAUGGGCUACCCGAUGGGCCCCAUUGGUGUGCGAGCCCCAGUGCAACUGCACUGGCGGCAACUCUGCCAGUGCAGCGGCAGAAUUGCCGCUACACAUGGGGCCAGGGCCGCCGGGCCUGUGACAACCGUCAUGGUUGUCACCCCCUGAUGGAGGCCCUGGCAGCAGCAGCUGCCCUGUGGAUUUGUUGAUGUAGCAGGUUGUUUUCUUUCAAAGUCAAAUUGGGCUUUUAACUUAUGGGCAUUUUGACACCAUACAGGAAGUCGACAAACAACCUCUCCAGAGCACCCAUGACAAGAGAGCCUCACUUGGUAAGCAUUUAUGUGCCUUAGUCAUUUUGAUGAGGUCCGUAGUAGUACAUGUAGGUUGUUAGGUCAGCAAUAAGCCAAAUUCUGUGCAGCUCUCACUCUUUCUGAUCCAGCAUCAUGCCAAAUGGCUUAGAAAGUCAGGGGAUAUCAGCAGUAGGUGCCUAAAGCUUGGUCAGCAAUUUGCAAAGUCAGUAAGAAAGGUAAGCAUCUGCUCUUCUGCCAGACACCACCUUCCAGACAGUCAGUCAAACCAGUCAAUCAUAUUGAUAUUUACAUUGCAAACAGCUGCUAAGCCGGAAAAGUUUCAAGAUGAUCCUACAGAUUAUGCAAUGAUGCUGCUGUUGAAGGCGAGAAAUGUUGAUAUUUAUGGACUCAGUAUGGUUGCCAAGGUCUGUAACCCUUUCCUCAGAGUUUCUAUCAGUUUGAGUUCUAAACUUUGACUGGGCCAUGGGUUAAAAAAAAACAUUUUUGGGUUCCUUAAAGACUGAAAAGGUUUUUCAAUAGACCUGCUCUGUAUGUGGUUCCAUCCACUUGCCUCUGCAAUUUUAUUCCUGUUGUAUAGUGGCAGUACACAUAUAAGCUUUUGUCUUCCUAUCAGACAGGUAACUUUUUAAAAUUUAAGAUGAUUAACAAUUUAGUUCUAUCCCAUCCACAACCUCUUUGCAGGCAUAAAAAUAUGUAUCCCCUAAUCAACCUUGGGUGUUUUUUUCGGUUUUUUUCGAAACAUGGAGCUUAUUUUCAUUAUGAUAGGAAAAACAUGGGCUUCUAUUAUUGGAUGUAAAGCUACAUAAGCUUCUGGGUGGAGUAUUAAAGUAUAAGAAUGCCGGUAUAUUUGUUUAUUGCAGGUAGUCUAGGAGUUGUUUCAUACCCAGUUAGGAACUAGCACUGUAGACUAUGUUCCAUUUUGCAGAAAUAAGAAAGGACUGGCUCGGAACAUGGUUGUGCAGCCAGUGGAAAGCACCCUGGGUUGCCAUGUGCAUACCAUGGGGAACAGACAGUGUGACUGCUCAUGUACCAGAAAGAUCACAAGUUUGCCACCAGAUUUAGACCACUGGGCACAUGUUUACAUAGGAUAUCGAUCUCAUGCCUUCCCCACACAUGAGCUGAUGCAUUUUAAGGAGAUUGAUCUGUCUCUGGCAUCUUAAAAGCGUUCUUCUAUAUAAUAUGGUUCUAAUAAUUAUAUAGAGAGAGAGAGAGAAAUACAUUCAUCUUUUAACAGAUGUUUAGUACCACAUCUCCAGAGAUACCUGCAAACACAAAACCAAAAGCUACAUCUAAAAUUAAACUUUUAAAUUGAUUAGUUGUGAUAUUCCCCUGCCAAAAGGUUGGAAGUAAAGAAACCUUACAGCCCAUGUUGUAAAGAGGCUAUAGAAGAAAUGUAUGCUGUGGAGAUAUUGGAAUUUCUGUUAACUGGUUUCAGAGUGACUUUAAACAGACCACACAGAUACCAGCCCACAGAAAAUCUAUGAAGAAGGGAAUGAACUUCAACAGAAUUUUGAGAAUACUUCUACUGAGUUUUUUCUUCUUUUGAUAAAGAUUCUGAAGAAAGACCACAGAAGAAGAGAGGUUCAUAAAAGUAGUGAAAAUGACAGAAGGAGAUCAUAAACCUUAAAGUGAGAUUGGAAAAUAUUCCAGAAAAGUAUGUUUCCAAAUACUUUAAAGUUCUGUUUAAUCUUAAAGAUGAAGAAUUUGAGCAUUGUAAAAUUUUACUAGUAGAUAAAUCAGUCGCUCAGCUUGAGUCUAAAGGGCAAAGUACAGACCUCUUGUAGAUGGAUUUUUGUGGCCUCACCAUUGACGUGUAAAACUUUGAUUGAAGAGGGAUCUGAAGGAAACGCACAAAAUGUGUGACUUCAAGCAUUGGUGGAAAGUUUAACUGAAAAAUCAUCUGAACAUCAGGUUAUUCUACUUAAAGGACCACUAUAGGCACCCAGACCACUUCAGCUCAAUGAAGUGCCAGGUCCAUCUAGGGUUAUCCCUGCAGCUGUAAACAUAGCAAUUUCAGAGAAACUGCUAUGUUUACAUUGAGGGUUAGUCCAGCCUCUAGUGGCUGUCUCCCUGACAGCCCCUAAAGGCCACUUCCAGUAUACUCAAUGCAAAAAUUGCAUUGAGAGCACGCUGGACGUCCAUUGGAAAGCAUUGAGUAAUGCUUUCCCGUGGGCGGUUUGAAUGCGCGUGCAGUGUUUUCCUGGGACUGUAGUGCUCCUUUAAACAGUUUAGGUAGCCUAAUGAGUUUCUGUGUUAUGUAGUAGAUAUGAAAGUUGGCUUUAUCUCCUGUUCCAAGAAGUGCUAUUUGACAGCUAACUGUGCAUCUGAGAAAUCACUUUGUAAAUUGCCAUUUGAAAAAGGAAGAUAAUGCGGCUUUUGACCAUUUAAUCAAACAAAUGUAAGAUGGUACUUCCCCAUGACUGGAAAUAAAUACAAGGUGGAAAAAGAUUUACUUCUUUAUUCUCGUGCCCACAGAGAUCUACUUAUGGCAGUAGGGAUGUGUUUCUGUUCCUUUUGAAGACAGUCAGGAUGCCAGAUCUACAACUAGAAGCUAGGCUUGUAAACAAAAAUAAUCAUAGCAAGGCUUCAGAGAUUUUAUUAAAAUUGGGAAAAUCCAUGGAGAAUGAGGUUUUGAGAACAGUAAUUUGUAACAAAGUUGUCAAAAUUGUGUCAUAAAAAAGUUCCUCUAUCAGAAAACAAAGAUCAGGGUUUAUAGUCUUGUCUGUUUUGGCAGAAAAUCCAAGUUGCUCAUUGCCGAAAUUUUAAUUUAAAAGGGGCACUAAAGUAACCAAAACAACUUUAGCUUAAUGAAGCUACUCAAUUCUCUGCAAUUUUGGAGUUAAAUCACUUUGUUCAUGCAGCCCUAGCCACACCUCACUACAUGUGACUUGCACUGACUUCCUAAACACUUCCUGUAAAGAGUCAUCUAAUGUUUGCACUUCCUUUAUUGCAAAUUCUGUUUAAUUUAAAAUGUAUUCUCUCCUGCUCUGCCAAUAGCUUGCUAGACCCUGAAGGUGCCUCCUGAAUGUAAAGUCCAAUUUACAGUGCAGGAGAUAAAAAACAUUUAAGUAAAUAUCUAAAUUAAUAUUAAAGCAUUUUGUUUUCAUGCAAGCUGUGUAAGUCACAACCAGGGCAGGUGGGGCUCAGUGGUGGAUCCACAGCCUGAUCUCUGGAGGGGCACUUGUAGAUUAUUUAAAGAAAUAACCCAGACACAAUAACCACUACAGCUCAGUGUAGUGGUUAUUGUGUCAAUAGAGCUGGGACCCCCUCCCAGAAUAAGUAGUUAAACCGUUUAAGAACAGUUUGACAACUUACCUGAGGUCUGCUGGGAAAUGGGGCUGUAGUAGGGCAUAGGAGCAGGGGUAUGUGUGUGAGGGGAGCUGUGUGUGUGUGUGUGAAGGUUGCAGUGUGUGUGUGAGUGAGGGCGGCAGUGUAUUUGUGGGUCGGUAUGUGUGUGUGUGUGACAGUUGCAGUGUGAGUGAGAGGAUUGCAGGUAUGCGUGUGUGUGGAAGGGGGGGCAGUGUGCUCUGGGUGUGUUUUUGUCUUUAAUAUUACUGAGGUAGAUUGAGAGAAUUGUAUACCUAGGUAUGGAGAUGUAAGAGCAUAAUAUUUGAAUAAUCUUAAAUGUUAGUAGGUUAUCUGUCCAAUUAGGAAGGUGACUACCCAUAUCUGUACUGCCACUAAUACCAAGUGGGAAUGAGGGGAGAAUUUACAGUAUGUAAAAUUUUCUGUUUCCUUUUAUGUCACAAUAAAAUACUUUGUCAAAGUGUUAAGCAAGCUGUAUAAAUCAUUUGGCAAAUAUCCCAAUAAAACAAAUUUUAACUUCAGGUUGUAACACUAUAAAACGGGAAAACGUCUAUGGGAUAAGUAUUUUGCAAGAAACUUUUAUUUUUUGUUAUAUAUCUGCUUGCUCUCAGGCUGCAUAAUUUUUUUUAAUUUUUUUUAUUUAUUUUUUUAUUACCGAUACAGGAUUUGAAGUUGUAAUUCAAUGUUUACAGCCAGGAUGACUUGCAGCUCUUAUUUGACAGAUCAGCUUAAUUGUCACAUUUUUCCCUCCCAAACAUUUUAACCCCUUAAGAACACGACAUGUUUGACAUGCCAUGAUUCCCUUUUAUUCCAGAUGUUUGGUCCUUAAGGGGCUAAGGGGUUAAACCUAUACAUUGAUUUCUACAUCCACUCCAUUUAAUUGAGGUGAACCAAGAGGGAACUGAUCACAACUUAGGUCACAUCAAGGUCAACUGCUGAAGUGGAAAGUUGGGACGUAUAACAUUUUUGGGGAGAGGGGAUUCCUAUUGGCUCUCUUCCUACUUGUAAAACCCAUAGGUCUUGACAUCAGUUUUAUUGAAUGGUCGGGACUCUGCUUUCAUUGCUGAGUCAUAUUGAAGCCAAAAGUUAGGUUGUAUUGUAAUUUACGCCAUGUUAUUAGAUAAGUUGUUAAAGAAUUGUUGAACACAGUACCAGAGGUUUAAGUUGGUCCCUCAACCCGAGUUGCUCUUGUAUAUUACCUUUUGAGCAGUGAUGAUGGACCAACACAAGGGCCACCGCUGGCACUUAGAAACAGCUAAGGUGGCACUAAGCGUCUGUCAAAGUAAUCGCCAUCAACUAUGUAGACCUAAGCAAAUAAUGUAUUCACCACCACAGGUAAUAUGUUGCAAAUGGGCUGAUCUGUGUGCAGCACACACUUUAGUGAAGCCGUAGAACAAGUAUGGAGAAAACCACCUGGAUAUGGUCAGUUUAUCAUAAGUACAGGGGAGACACUUUAUUGGAGUAGAUGCACAACUGCUUGUGAUACACAUGUAAAAAUUCCUAUUUUAGCAUGUUAUAGCAUGGUCCAUAUUAUAAACCUGUCUUCAUGUUUGAACACACCGUUUUUAAAGUGCAUAGAGAGGUGGGUCUUUUCUAUAUAUCUUUCUAUACGCUCUUUGUUUGCAGCUCAUUUAAUAAUGUAGGUGCUUUUGGUACUUCUUGGAUUGCUGCUUAUAGUUUUCUGUUGUUAUUAAUGCAAUAUUGAACAACUGAUAUAAAACAUUUGGGUUAAAUUCCUCAGUUAUUGGAAAACAUUGCAUUGGAUGAUAGGCACAAAUAUGCUCGAAAUACCUAUUUUCAUAAUAUGUAUAAAGCACUUUGCACAGUGCGUUCUAUAACAUGAUAAAACUGCAAACUGGAAAAUUCUAGCUGCUAAUAACCCACAUUUAAAUAGAAAUCUGGGGGGUGGGUUUGUUUUUAUUAGAAUUUUUGCUUUAUGCUCUGAUAUUGUCACAUCAUAUCCUUGUGUUCUGGAUCUUUUGUGUUAAACUUGUGAAAAUAAAUUUCCUAAUAUUUAUUAUUGCUGGGGGAGCACAGGGAAGAACCUCACUAUGUUCUUGCUUUAAAUACUGGAACCCCACCCCCCCCACCCCCAACCUUUGUAUAAUUGCUGCCUUAACAAACAUCAGCACUGCAACACAACUUAUUGUACUGACCAGUGUUCCCCCUAAGGUAGUGUUAAUGUUUAACACACAAGUGUUUUGUGUUCCCCCUGGCAUUAUGGAGAAAUCAAAGCAGCCAGAGUGAUGCAGGCUAGCCAUGAUAAGCUGUCUAGAAUUGUGCGUAUGGCACUCGUCUUGCAAACUGCAGUGUGUGUUUACAUUAAGCAUUUUCCUGGUUAUUGUUUUAGAUGUGGGAUUGUUCACGUUUGAGGUAACACUGCUGCACAAUGCAAUCUCUCCAACUGAUCUCAUAUGUAUGUAUCUGUAAGAGUGUAAUCGUGUGUUUGCAAUACAUUUCUGAAUUUUUAGAUAAAGAUGAAAAAAGUGGUUGUAUUGACUUAUAUAAAGUAUUGUAUAUAAUCUGAAUGUGCAGUGCAAUGAUGACAUGUUAGUGGUUUGAAUAAUGUCUUUUUUUCAUACUGAAGAAUGUUAAAGGUCUGAUGACUUGCUAUUGGUGCUUAAUAGCGUUUGAGAACAAUAUUUUCAUGCAAAAGUAUUUUUUUUUUUUUUUUGCUUAUUGAUGCACUGAGGGUGAAAGCUUUCUAUUCACAAAUUGGAAGAAGUGGACUUUUGUCAAAAUAUAAGUAUGCUUUAAGUAACUUGUGUAGCAUGUUCUAAGUAGAAUUCUGUUUCGGCAUAUGGGUUUUAAUCACUGCUUACUUUUUGUUUUUUUGCUAUUUUUAUUUUUAAUUCUUUUUAACGCAACACAACGCUAUGAAAUAAUGUCUCUCUCAAGACUGGAUUAAAAAUAAAAUAAUGAUACUGGAACCUUUGUUGGGAAAUAGUACAAUGUGAUUGGCCUCUAAGUUAGUUUGAUACAAUUGAACCUCCGAUCAUCUCUAGUAAUGCCAAACAUGCAACAAACCCAUUCUUAUCUAACUGUAGUUCUAAAAUGAUGGAGUACAUUUUUAAUAAUCGUUUACAAAGGAACCUUAUGAACAUUUCAUCUUUGUGGCAAAUAACAUGUAGUUUUCCUAUAUCUUUGACUUUAAUUAACACAUUUAUUAAAGGAGUAGUAUUAUUAAAAAUAAAUAUGAUCUAAAUUAUCUGGCUAAAUUAAUCCCUUUACCAAUCUGACUAGUUUAUUCGGGCUAAAUAAGUGAUGAAUAUGGCAAUAGUAAUAGCAAAAAAAUUACAAACCAAUUUGGAUGAACAAAAUAAAUACAUGUGUAGGCACUUGUGGAUCUGACAAAAAAAAGUACUUACAGAAAUGUAUUCUCUAAAAGUAACUUACAAAAAGAAUGGGGGGAUGAAAAUGUAAGUAGUCCUAAUAAAGGCCGCAAUCUUUAAAGCCAUCUUAAAGAGGUACAAUCUCUUCUCUGGAUUACACUAUUGACUGACAUAUAUAAAAUCAGCUGCUUAUGAGAUGCUCUGCUUUCUUUCAGAUUAAUAUUACAGAUUUAACAAAUUAUAUCAUAAUCCAGUUCAGGUAGGGCAAACAUUGCUAAUGAAUAUGAAUUUACGUGUAUUAAGUCAAAGUGGUCACAUUAAGAAGCUAUGUAACCAACUCUUGUAUAAUGAUAAAGACCAGAUUUGGAAAGAGGAUACAUUCAAUAUUUUUCUAUCACUUUUAUCAUUUCAUUUUGUUGAUCCUUCUCUUUUAAAUAUAACUUAGUUUGCUCUACAUCCCAAGGAACACCCAGCAAUGUUAGUUUUCUAAAUAUACUCAUUCAUGGUUCCAUUGAUGACCUGUUACUAUGUGGAUUGAAUCUGGACUCUGGAUUUUGUGAACAGACCGUAGUUUAACUUUUCGUAAUGGUGCCGAAUGACUCCCCGAUUUAAGAAGCAUCCGCCUGUCUGUAGUUUGAAAAUACUGCCAUCAUGUUUUGUUAGCUUGUUUUGUAAUUAUUUGAAUACAUUUGUAUGUUGUUGUUUUUUAACAUUUUAGAAUGUGUUUUGAUUAAGUGUAGCAGUAUAAACUAAUUAUGAUUACUGUGAUUAAAAAGAAAAAAGUGAGCGCAAAAUUAAUUUUAAUCUUCUAUUAGAGAUUUAAUCAUCCCAA